UACAGAGGGUGCAAGCGUUAAUCGGAAUUAUUGGGCGUAAAGCGCGCGUAGGUGGUUUGUUAAGUUGGAUGUGAAAUCCCCGGGCUCAACCUGGGAACUGCAUCCAAAACUGGCAAGCUAGAGUAUGGUAGAGGGUGGUGGAAUUUCCUGUGUAGCGGUGAAAUGCGUAGAUAUAGGAAGGAACACCAGUGGCGAAGGCGACCACCUGGACUGAUACUGACACUGAGGUGCGAAAGCGUGGGGAGCAAACAGG
rnacentral:rRNA from 1 species